GCGGAGCGUCGCCCCGAGCGGGAGGCUGAGCUGGGGGUUGCCGCCGCCUGGGCUCCCGGUUCCGGGCGGCCCCGUGCGCGAGCGCAGGUACGGUCCUCGGGCGCCGGCUGCUUUCUGGAUCGCUUUACUGCAAAAGGUGGCUGUUAUGAACCCUGCUGGACCUCGAGAGUUUGACUUAGGACCCGUUGCGAGAGCAAAUCAUGGCCUUUAGGGAUGCUCGUACCAGAAGACUUCCAGUCCACGUUUUUAUUAGUGAUCAGAAGGUUCCCUGCCCCCACCCCGACGUGAGUGCAGUGAUGAAACGAAUACUGAGCAGAAGAAGCCCCCCCCUGCAAAUAGAAGUCAGUGGUGAUCGCAUUAUUCUCCAGAGGACCUGGGCUUCUACUUCAGAGAGAGAAUGAGGACCAUCAAGCACGGAUGUCUACAAUUUUUGCCCAACCAUCUCAUCCAAACCCCACAAAUUACCUAUAUCCACACCCAGGUUUGCUAGCUUUCCUGUGUCUCGCAGGCUGGGUGUCCCCGCUUUUCUCUGAAGCAAACGUCUCCGCUGUCUGCUCCCACCUGUGACCGCCUCUUUGACGCAUCUUUAACCUUGUCCUUUCUAUUGGGUACAACUCUGCAGCACAGUCACAUUUUAAGACUUUUCUGCCUUAAAUUUUCCCAUGAUUUUACAACCUCGUUCUAGUUCUCUCUUCUUUCAUCAUAAUUAAGCUUUUGAAAGAAUUUUGUACCAAGAGCAGCGUUGACCCUCCAUGAAUAUUUUUAGGAUUCAAUAAAUAUCUUCUGACUGAAUGAAUGUACAUUCUCCUCUCCGUUGCAUCAGCUCCUACCCUCUGACUUCAUACCUGGAUUUGAAGCACACUAUAUCCACAAUAAUUCUAAAAUAGGCAUCUGAACAUGUUGCUCCACUGCUUAAAAUCUUUCACUGGCUCAUCGGAACUUUCAAGACAAAGAUUAACAGGGUCUUCAAGGCUCCUUUCAUGCUUGCAUGCUCUGUCUCUCCUGUUAUGCCAAACUCUUCAGAGUCCCCUGAUUGCGCGCGCUCAUCUCUGCUUUAAUGAGUACUGUUUCCUCUGACCUUUUCCUUAGCUUUUUGCUGGUCCAGACCAUUUGAAAGUAAAUCCAAGAACACGCUUACAAGCGCGUUCUCAGCCGUCACACCUGCGUACCCAGCAGAAGUCUGCACACCACCUGCAGAACGCUUCCAGGCCUCCUGCUUCCAUCUCUGCCAUGUCUCACUUUCAGCUCUCCUGAGUCCUCAGUUUCCCUCCUCAGUUCAGCUCCAUUCAGAAGCUGCUAAUAUUCACCUAGGCCCCAAAGUUGACAGCCAAUAUUGAACCAACCUUUUAUUAUUAAAUAUUUCUUUGGUUUCAAAUGAACACUAUUAUAAAUAUCUUUUCAUAAAUCCUUGUCCAUGUCCUUACUGCCUCAAGUCCUGAAAAGUAAUCAAAGGUAUGAACACUUUUAGCCUUUUAGAAACAUGUUGGCAAGCUGCCUUCCAGGAAGAACAUAGGCUCAAGUGUCACAUGGCCUGGGGUCAAAUCGCAGUUCUGCCACCUGGGGCCACGUUCUGAUUUUCAUGGGCCCUAGAUGCUUUUACCUUUGUGGCCACUUCUGCCACAAAAUAAUAUUAAAAAUUAUAUUUAUAACUGCAUUGGUUUAAGGACAGCAUAUUGAUGUUAUAUAGUAAAAUGUUUUCUUUGACCAUAGCAUUCAUUUUUUUUCUUCUGAUUUUAAAAGAAGUUAAAACAUUUUAUGGGCGUCUGAAAUUGUGGUGAGCCUGAGGCACUGUGCCCACUGUGACAAUUGGAUAAGUCAACCCUGCUGCGACCUACAGGCUAUGAGAUUUGGCCAAAUUCCUUAAUCUGGCUGUGCCUCAACCAGAAAAUUGGUGUAACGCGGCCAUAUGAUGUUGUAGCAAAAAGUAAAUAAGUUGUUACAAAUAAAAUACUUAGAAGUACAUGGCACAUAAUCAAUACGUUACCGUCAUUAUAACUUUUAGUCUCAAUUUUCCCACAGAGGUAUAUGAGAGUAUACGAUUGUCCUUCUUCACUGUGCCAAAGUCAUCAUGGUGUAUUUUUAUAUGGGCAAAUAUGGUUUCUUAUUGUUGGCUCAUUGUCCAUUUUCUUACUGGGGUAUUCACAAAAAGUCACUUUAUAUGAUGUAGAUAUUGAUCCUAGAUAAAGCUAUUGGUCUUUUCCAUUUUUGUUUCCUUCUAUUAUUUUUUGCUUCACAAGUCCUUUCCCAUCCUGAGAUCAUAUCAAUUAUCUGCCUUUAUUUUUACUACGUGUUUGGUAAUUUUGACUUUUCCGUUAAAUAAUUUAAUCCUUUGGGAUUUAUUUUGGAGUGAUGAUCUACCUUUCAUUUUCUCGAAAUGGCUGACGGUCUUCCCCAGCUCAUUUUCUAAAGAAUCCUUCUCCAAGUAUGAUGGUUUUAAAAUAUGUAUGCCCACAAAUUCAUCGAUAUUCCUUCCUUCAAAAAGUGGAGACUAAUUCCCUUCCAAGUGAAUGUGGGCUGUACUUAGUGACUUGCUCCUAAAGGAUACAAUAUAGCAGAAGUGACACUGUGGCCAUCUUAAAAAGGUAUCGUGGCUCCUCCCUACCCCCUCUCAGAUCACUUGCUCUGGGGAAGGCAGUUACCAUGUCAUGAAGACAUUAUCAAGUAGCUUUAUCAGACGCCCAUGUGUCAAAGAGCUGAAUAUCCUGCCAACAACCAGCAAGAAUCUGCAGCCUCUGCCAAUCUCCAUGUGACUGAGCCAUCUUGGAAGCAGGCCUUGGGAUGAUGCAGACAUCUUGACUGCAACCUCAAUAGAGACCUUGAACAAGAACCCCCAGCUGAGUCGCUCCCAAAUGCCUGACCCAUAGUAACUGUUUUGGGUUAUUAUGACUCAAGAUUCUAUGAACGUGUCAUCAAAAGUCUUUGUGUUGAAAUAUAUUUUCAUUUUUAUUGGGUAAACAAUGCCUAGAAGUAGAAUUGCUGGGUCACAAGAGUGGAAAGUUUUUGAGACCAGCUGUUUUAUCUCCUGUGUUCACUGCUGUGUCUCCAGUGCCUAAGACAGAGCCUGACAUACAAUGGGUGCUGAGCUGGAUAACUCUCCACAGAUGAUCCCUUGACUAUACUCUUAGGUAAGACUCCAUCCUUCCCUAGGUAAACCUAUAAGGAAAGGCAAUUUCUUUCUUUAAUUUGUGCUUCCUUUCCCCACUGAUUUAUAAUACUACUUUGUUUUUAACCACAUGCUGAAUCACUACGGGUACUAGUUAACCCAGUUGGUGGGUGAGGUUAGCCCACUCUUUGAUAUUUGCCACUUUAGCAAAUUAAUCAAACCCAGACAGGAGAUUGUGACAACCUCUGAUCCAUAGCUGGUAUGAAGCACAGACGACAACCUGGCCUUGGCUACUAGCAUCUGGGGACUGAGCCCUUAACCUAUGGGAUCUGAUGCUAUCUCCAGUUAGAUGGUAUCAGAAUUGAGUUAAAUUGUAGGACACCCAGUCAUCGUCCACUGAAAAGUGGAGAAUUGCUUAGAGUUGAAAAAAACCAAACAUUGGCAUUGUAUUAAUAUGUCUCCUCAUAGAGAUUUAUCCUUGCAUUCCUGGAUUAUUCUUUUCUUGUUUAUAGUGGUUUUUUAUGUUACACAGUCUAUUGAAAGCACUUGACAGUUAGGUACCCCCUUCUGAGAGGCCUCAGAAUGCUUGUAAUACUUAUACCUCUAACCGAGGAAUUUUUUUUUUUUUUUUUUUUGCCCAGUAGCACCAACACUUGACAAUAGUUGAACAGUGAUGAGUUCUUGACCCAAAGGUGUUCAUCUUAAAAUCAGCCUGUAGCUUAUGACACGGCCUGGAAUAAGGGCUCUGCGGACAGUCUCCUGGAAGAUGAUAGCAGUGUCAGACACUCAGAGAGAGAUACAGAUAACAGAAUGGCAUGGAAACAAAGAGGCUUUACAGAAAGAAGCAGUGAUCAGAAGCCGUGAGGUAAAAGUAAAAAGCCAGGUGGAAGUGGCAGUGAAAUAGAAACAGCCAUGGUAGAAGUAAAGAUAAGUUUAGCCACAAAUAUGGAGGAGAAGCUAGAGUAGAGAGCAACGGGCACUUGCUGCUGAGGGGUCAUCGGACGAACAGGACUCGCAGCUGGAUUAUUAUAAUUGUGGAGACACUGCGCACCUGAGCAUCCUGACUGGCAUUCCAGUUUCCCUGGAGACCUGGCCAUAUGACUGUUGAGAGGCGGUUUGUUCAUAUGUCCCUUUGUAUCAACUGAAAUUACCUACGUAUGGCUUUUUUGCUGCCUGAAAAGACCCAACUAAUGCAAGUAUUUUUUAAAAAUAUUGCUAGAUUUAAUUUUCCACUCUUCGUUUGGAGGAUUUAGCUAUAGUUUUUCUUCUGUGUGUGUGUGUAUGUGUGCACACGUGCAUGUGCACGCAAUAUGUGCAUACUAACUUUGUAGGUUAAAUUUUUUCUGUUACAUCCUGUUAACUUCUCUGGUGGGCCCUCUAUAUUAUCUGCCUUCUCAGUGAUACUUUGCUAGGUUUGGCAAAAUUACUUGCAAUUUACAGGUGCUAUUGUUGCAUAACUUUCCUUUACCCUUGUAUUUGAUGAGUGUAUCUCAGAUAGAGAAUCUGUGUUUUGUUAAUCCAUUGCUUUGUGAAACUGAGUGCCAAAUUCCAAAUAAAAAUUCAAAACUUUUAAACACUGUAGUGCAUUUCUUAGCGAACUCUACUUUCUGAAGUAUCCAGAAUUCACCAUAUGGAAAUGUUAUACAAUUUCUCUUGAACAGGUUUGUUUAUAAAGUUUAGUAUCGUGGUGAGUUCAGGAAUCCAGGUGUCCAAAGAUUGGUUGUAUUAAUGACCCCGCUAAAUGGCCUCCGUAAAUCCAUAAUGUUUGUUCUAUAACCUUCAAGUUCCCUCCAACUCGGGGUCUAGGCUUGGGUACGUGACUGGCUUUGGUAAUAGGAUGUUAGCCAGCAUGACGUAAGAAGAGACUUGGAAAGUGUAUGUGCUUUUUGCUGCUUUUUUGUGUGAUUGGCCCGGCUCACCAUUCCCCUCUGCUGUGAUGUGAGAACAUGCCUGGGCUAGCCUGCAGGAAGGAUGUGAGAGGCAUGUGGAAGAGAGCUGUGCUGUUCCAGACAACCCAGCUAGAGCAUUCUAGAUCAGCCGACUGCCAGCUAGCCCUCAGAGUGGGGAGGAAAUCCAGCUGAGACCAGAAGAACAUUCCAGCUAAACCAUUCAAAAUUGUUCACCUGUAGUGAGCAAAAUAAAUGCUUAUUAUUUUAAGGAACUGUGUUUGGGAUGGUUUGUUACAAAGCAUUAUUGUGGCAAUAGAUAAUACCGAGAUGCUGAAAUAGUGGUUAAUCAAUGAGGAGACCUCCCUGUGUAUUUGAGGUGCCAAGUCAGCAAUAAUAUUCACAGAUGGUCGAUAUUUUCAUAUAUUCAUAUCUCUUUUUGUUUUCUUCUGUCUCUGGAAAAACUCCUUUACUGCCCCAGGAACAGUAAUGGUACCAGAGAAUGUUUCCCUCUGGCACUGUAGUAGCGUUUUAGGCACUAGGCAUGUCAAAAAAUAUGUCUGACUUUGCUCAUGGUGCGGUGUUUUGAUAUUUGAAGUGUUAAGAAGGUAAAUGGAUUUUAUUUGACUGGAAUGGUAAAGAUAAGACAUUCUCUGCCUCAAAUACUUGCCUGGAUUUAAGUCGUUGGUAAGAAGAAAAAAAAUAAUUAGGCUGGUGAAUGCUUUCAGUUAUGCCCUUUCCUGAUGACUCAUAGAUUUUAGAAUGCCUUUAAAGAAAUCUUGGAAAUACAGGCUGUCAGGUGAAGUCCUUGCUCUUAUAUUAGGCAAAUAUAGGUUUUUAAAAAGAAAACACAGAGGCUCCAGUUCAAGUUAACAAACAUUUAUUGAUCUCCUCUUACGUACCAGGCAUUAUAAAUACAAAAUCAGUGAAAAUACCCUCUGCACUAGACGAACUUAGAAUUCAGAAAAGAGACAGACAAAUAAAUCACGAUUCCAAUAUUCUAUGGUAAGCACAAUGAAGGCUCAUGCACACAAAGCUUAUGGUGGUCGAGGGGGUGGGGAUGGCAGGCCAGGUUUGUGUUUAAGGAAUUUAAAGGAUGAGUAGAUUUAGGCAAGUAAAAGAAGCGCUUCGCUGAGAAAGGAUUCCAGCAAGGAGCAAUAGCAUGAACAAUGACAUGGAAUGUGGAGCAGCAUGAUUACAUGGGAAACCACAGAACACAAUGGGGGACUGGGAGUUAUACUUGCCAAAAUAUAAUCAAAGUCCUGUUAGGUAUUUGCUUAUGUUUUCAAAUGUGCAAUUAUUUUUGAUAAUAGAGUUUUUGUUUUACACGAAAGUAAUCUUUGAGUAUCUUCUGGAUUUCUGUGAAUUCCGUGUGGACAGGGACCAAGUUCAUCUUCUCUCCUGCAUCUCAGCACCAGCACAGUGCCUGACACUUUGUACAGAUGCAAUACGUGUUUGUUGAGCAAAUUACUGAAUUCUCGAAACUGUCAGCCUUUGCCAAAGUCCUAUAGAAAUUUGUCUUUUAAAUUGUUCUUUUUAAUGUACUCAUAAAGAUGUAUUUUCUUGAAUAAUUUGUCUUUCUCAAAUUGUCUUCAAUAAAGGAUAGCUAAAUCUUCUGAUUUAUAAUUCUCCCUAUUUUUUUCUUUCAGUUUUAUUGAGAUAUAACUGACAUACAGCCCUGUAUAG
ensembl:lncRNA